ACAAAUGCAAUGACGGGACUGGAAUACAACCCGCCUUUUUUCAGAGAGCUGCCGGGCGCUGUGAGGCAGCAAAAGGCCUGUGUUCGAUCAUCCCUGAGCAGGCAGCUGAACCCAGUUUGGCAGUAGGUGCGCUCGGUUUCCCACCGUUAGAAAGGGAGUACAUUGUUGGAUGUACACAAGCGGCUGCAAAUGCAGCAAGUAGAGUGGUACCGCGGAAGUUCAGACUUUCGUCUCUAGU
rnacentral:ncRNA from 1 species